CACCCCAGGCAAUGGUCAAAGAGAUAUCUUGUUGUUGGUGUUCUUAUAUCAGUCAGGGGCAGGGCAGAUGGAGGUCUUUUGCUCAUCCUAGCUUGAUGCAUAUCUUGGUGGUCAAAGCUGUUUUAUGCCUGGAACUCUUAA